rnacentral:rRNA from 1 species
CAGUCGCCGCGGGAAUACGAAGGGUGCAAGCGUUACUCGGAAUUACUGGGCGUAAAGCGUGCGUAGGUGGUGGUUUAAGUCCGUUGUGAAAGCCCUGGGCUCAACCUGGGAAUUGCAGUGGAUACUGGGUCACUAGAGUGUGGUAGAGGAUAGUGGAAUUUCCGGUGUAGCAGUGAAAUGCGUAGAGAUCGGAAGGAACAUCUGUGGCGAAAGCGACUAUCUGGGCCAACACUGACACUGAGGCACGAAAGCGUGGGGAGCAAACAGGAUUAGAUACCCGGGUAGUCCCUGUCUCUUAUAC